rnacentral:rRNA from 1 species
GAUGAACGCUGGCGGCGUGCCUAAUACAUGCAAGUCGAGCGAACAGACGAGGAGCUUGCUCCUCUGACGUUAGCGGCGGACGGGUGAGUAACACGUGGAUAACCUACCUAUAAGACUGGGAUAACUUCGGGAAACCGGAGCUAAUACCGGAUAAUAUAUUGAACCGCAUGGUUCAAUAGUGAAAGACGGUUUUGCUGUCACUUAUAGAUGGAUCCGCGCCGCAUUAGCUAGUUGGUAAGGUAACGGCUUACCAAGGCAACGAUGCGUAGCCGACCUGAGAGGGUGAUCGGCCACACUGGAACUGAGACACGGUCCAGACUCCUACGGGAGGCAGCAGUAGGGAAUCUUCCGCAAUGCGCGAAAGCUUGACGGAGCAACGCCGCGUGAGUGAUGAAGGUCUUCGGAUCGUAAAACUCUGUUAUUAGGGAAGAACAAAUGUGUAAGUAACUAUGCACGUCUUGACGGUACCUAAUCAGAAAGCCACGGCUAACUACGUG